CAAGAAAAUGAAUGAUCAAAUAAUUUUCCUCUGUAAAGCAGUAGCAGGAUAGUAGAUAAAUGCUACGGGCGACAACAGAAAAGUGAAGACAAAUGUAACUGUAUAAAUCUCAAGAACUGCUGCUCUUAUCUACCACAUAUGGUAGAUCUACCACAACACAUAAAUAUAUCUAUCACAUAUGGCCAUCAAAGUUUAGAGAAUAAAUAUGAGACAUAGUUUCCAACAGGAGAAAGAAGAUAGCCCUAAAAAUCUUUGCACCGUCACAUCACACACCAUUUCUAUAGGUCUAAAUCUAAAAUACAUAUAACAAAUGAUUUUAUUCCUAAGUCAAACCAAAUAAAUAAGAGGCAUACAUAAUCUGCGUCAUAGUGUGUAGGUGCAGAAAUCUCACUAACUGAUAAACAUCAGCAAAAGGAGGAGGUCAGGUGUGCCUUGGAGCUGCCACGCCAUGGAAAUCCUCUGCACUGGGGAGCAAUGGGAUCGACAGCUGCAAGAAAUGGACUGUCAGCAUACACAACAAAUGCAAGCACACACAGAGGAGGGAGACAAACCUGUAGGUUAGCAGCCUCAAGAACGACCGCAAUCGGCACAUUCGGUUGGAAGCCCUUGCGCAAAG
rnacentral:lncRNA from 1 species